AUGAUGGAGUCAAAAGACAAGUUACCUGGAAAGAAGCCACAGUCAGGGGUUGGGAGAGGGCAGAUGCGCGGCUGCGGAGCUAGGUGGGAGCCCUGGAGGCGUUUGAGGGGACACGUGGAAUUUGAACUGCUGCACUGUCUUAAUCCGGGCCUCGUCCACCCAAGCCCUCUGCGGCGCGAGGACCACAGAGCAUCUGCUUUUCUUACGGUCCAGGCCCUCGAGACCCCGCCCCACUGGAGGCCCUGCUCAUUGGAGGCCUGCCCAUUGGAGGUGCAGUCUGGUUGCCUUGGCAACCCCCCCGCGGCCGUGUUCCGGGCUUGGCGUGCCGCAGGGGAACGCGGUUGCCACAGCAACGGUGGGGCGUGUCCGGCCAGGCACCCGGAGCGGAGCGUUCAUCCCGCAGACGCGGAUGCUGUUGCUCCUGAGACGAGAGGGCCCUUGAGGCACCGAGCCAGACGCGGAAAGAAUCCAUCAAUCAUCCGGGACCCCUUCGGUGCAGAUGACCCUGUGGAUGGUCGACGGGGCGUGGGUGUUUCCAGCAGAGGGGCUUCAGCCGGAGAAAGCGGCUCACAGAGAGUUUCCGCCCGCCCGCCGCCCGAAGAGGCUUGAGAGACGCUCACCCAUCAAAACAGACGUGAACCAGCAGCAUGAGACGCCGGGACCCAGUCUCAAUCCCAGCUCAGACAAACCGCCUUUGAAAAGUCGUCUUUUGGACAGUAGGUUAAAUCUGUCUCCAGGCAGGUGACAUUAAAUAUAAUCAUGGCAUCGAGCUCUGUAGGAAAAUGUCCAUUUUUUAAGUGCACAUUGGAAGAUUUGGGGGAAAUCACAUAAGGUCUGGGAUUUCCUUUGAAACAGGGAAAAUUAGACAAGAGAAUGUGGGGGCGGGGGGGCCAGAUCAGAUAAAUGAGGCUGAGAAGCUGUGGACGGCAGUGUGUCCAGGGCUCUCGUGGGAGCCAGUUUCCAGGAGCCCGAUUUCGGUGUCAGUUUGGCGGGUUUCCACCGUGACUCAGGUUGGAGAUAUUUUAAAUUUGUGAAUGUCCCACACGAGUCUCCAUCGCAGCCUGUGCACUGCCCGCAGACCGCACAAACGCAGCUGUGCAGGAGGGCGGGUGUCCAGCCCCUCUGCAGGGCUCACCCCCUCGCCAGCAGACCCGUCCCUGGGAGGGAUUUGGGCAAGGGGCCUGUCCUCUUUAGACCUUCCUGCAGUCCCCUCCCCUCGGUCCUGGUGUCGCUGUUCCCUGCGGGGCCAGUCCUGCCACCUCACCUCCUCUGUCCCAGCCCCCGGCUGGAGGCUCGCAGGGUGGGCCCAAGCACCGGCUUUCACAGCCAGGUGACCUCUGACCCCGGCCCACCGGCUCUGAGCCUCCCUGUCCUGCGGGUCCUCUGGGACUCCUGGCCCCCUUGGGCUCACCACAGAGCGUCUCCAGCCAGAAAUGCAGGUGUCCGGCCACAGACAGUCUGGGGGUCUGAAGCUCGCUCGCACGGGGACCCGCUGCCCUCUACACACAGGUCACAGGGGAGAGCCUCUCCCCUGGCUGGCUCUCGGAGCACCUUCUUCGCCGCAGAACCAGAGCUGCAGGUGACUUCUGAGGGUCCACAGGGCUUUCAGGAUAAACCGCCAAGGUGCCCGUGCCAGCUCCUGGGGCGGCCCUCUCCGCCUCCAUCUUCACGCCCUGGUUAACUUUUCUCUUUGUCAGGUUCAGAGAGCUGCCCGCCCCUGUGUCUGCACCUUGGACCUGCUUCCUGCCGCCCCCUGGGCAGCCCAUCGCCAAGCCUGCCCCUGCCCUGGGCCAGCACGCGGCAGUCGUGAGCCCGGGGCUUUCCUCACCACCGUAUUCACAGUUGUUUAUUCUCAUACAGCUGACACAGAAAAGACUCUCAGUUGAACACACAGAAACACGAAUUGAGGGCCUCUCCCAGGACGGGAAAGAACUGAGGCUGAAGCUUGCCAAACAGAGGACAGAAACGGGGACCUAAUCGCAGAGUUGUCAGCGAUAAACACUCAACUCCCUGAGCUUAAGGAAACCAACAUGACUCUGUCAGGGCCCCCGAGACCACCCCCACAUUGACUCGGGACCCCCAGGACUCAGCAGAGAUUCAGGACAGAGAAAGGAUGCAAAGCAGCAUCAGUGAGAGGAAGAGGCAGGCGGGGACAGGCCUGGGACCAGGCGUGAGCUUCCAGAGCCCCGCCCCACACCCACACACCCCAUCCCCGCCACCAGCCAGCAGUGCCGUCUCCUGGGAGCCCAGUAGACACGCAGCACCCAGGGUUUUUACUGGAGGGUGGUUCAAGGGCACCUGUGCCUGGGGAAUGUUCCAGACCCCCAGAGGAAGAGGUGCUUGGCUGGCAGGAGCCUCACUCGGCAAAGACAUUUAGGCCGGCAAGCCCCUCUCCUCCCCGAGGGCACUUGGGACCCUCGGGAACUCCAGCCCCGGGCCAGCUUCACAGGUGGCCCUCGGGAGCAGGCUAGCGGCUCUCCCGGUGGUGGAGGGGUAUGCAGGCAGGCCUGUUAACCUUUUACUGCACAGCAGGUGGAAAACAGCUCCCGUCAAGGAGAGAAGCGAAAAGACUUCACGCUAGAAACACCGCGUAAGUGAUUCUAGCUGCCGAAUCACACGCACCUGCUCACUGGACACACACUCAUUUAGAGGAUCCACUGUCUGCCCCUGCAAUGUCUAUGAAAUGACUUAAGAAAGUUUCUUCUCCUGUUCAUUAAGAAAAAACUUGGGACCAGAGAGACUGACACACUCUGAACGUCCAGACGGUUUCGGGAGUGAGAGGCAGCGGCGGUUUUGGCCUGCUCUGUACUCUUCCAUCAGGGACCCACGAGCUGUCCGUGUUAACUCCACUCACAUAUCCACGUAUAGUAAAUUACCUCAGUGAUGUAGAAAAAAGCCUGGCAAGAUGAACAUGAGAGGAUAAAAGUGGUCUAGUGUCAAUGGAGCGUUUCCAUGGCAUUUCAUUUGCUUUCAGUUCAGCUAAGUCGCUCCUCCAUCGUGUCUGACUCAGCGACCCCAUGGACUGCAGCACGCCAGGCUUCCCUUCAUUUAAAGGGGAGCUUCAUUUGCUUUAAAU
rnacentral:lncRNA from 1 species